ACACACACACACACACACACACACACAGAGGGCUGCAGUGACGAAUGUCCAGAAGUGGCCUUGUACUUCAGAAUGCUGCAGCCCUGUGUGUGUGUGUGUGUGUGUGUGUGUGUGU